rnacentral:rRNA from 1 species
UACGAAGGGGGCUAGCGUUGCUCGGAAUCACUGGGCGUAAAGGGUGCGUAGGCGGGUCUUUUAAGUCAGGGGUGAAAUCCUGGAGCUCAACUCCAGAACUGCCUUUGAUACUGAGGAUCUUGAGUCCGGGAGAGGUGAGUGGAACUGCGAGUGUAGAGGUGAAAUUCGUAGAUAUUAGCAAGAACACCAGUGGCGAAGGCGGCUCACUGGCCCGGUAUGACGCUGAGGUGCGAAAGCGUGGGGAGCAAACAGG